AGAGCUCUCUCUCUUGUUUCUCGACUCCCCUGUCUCUUCUCCCACGGCCCCGUUCGAGGCCCACCAGCCAGUACGACGACGUGCACACUCUUUACGGGCGGCGCACCUCAAGUACACACAUAGGGAGACACACACACACAAACACACGCACGCGGCGAAAGAAAAUGUCUGACGACGCCAGCGAGGUGGCGGCGGAGCUGCCGCAGAUGUGGCAGUAUAUCCACCCUACGCACAACAGCGCCGACAGCAGCGAUGACGAGGCAGACGAAGAGGAAAACGCAGAUGUGACCGACAACGACGCAGCUCGCGGAGGCCGCCCUGCCGACUACGUAAAGCUGAAAAAGUCGGCCCCACGCCUUGGCCAGCUGAUUCGCUUCCUCAACGACAUGGAGGACGAAGAUGUGCAGGGGCUGCUGCUGGAGAAUGAUCCGGUGACGCGGCAGACGCUGCUGCAGUGGGCGACGCUGAACAACCACUUCAUGCUCGUUGAGUACCUUGUGAAGCGUAUGAAGCGCGCCGCCUUCUCCUUCGAUGCCGAGUCGGUCGAGGUCGUGGUGUACGACCGGUGGGCGGAGAUGUCGCAGGAGCUACCCACGGCUGCCGAGGUGGCGGAGCGGCAGAAGCAGCGCGAGAACGAGAAGGCGAAGCGGCUGGCGGAGCGUGCGAUGGCCAACAGUGGUGACGAUGUCAUCGAGGACGAGGAGAGCGAGGAAGAGGAGGAGGUGGAGCCGAUGCCGGAGGAGCUCGUGUACGACACACUGGAGGACUACCACGGCGAGUUGGGGGAUGGCGGUGUCGGGGUGGUGAAGCGGAUUGGCGAGCUUGGCGUCUACGUGGGGCCGCGCUUGCCGGACGGCACGAAGCAGGGCCUCGGUCAGACGCUGUUCCCCUCGGGCGACUGCUACACUGGCGAGUACAAAGAGAAUCAGCGUGACGGCCGCGGCGUCUACUGGUGGUCCAAGGGCGGCGCACUUUACUGCGGCGAGUGGUUCCGAAACAUGCGCCACGGCUACGGCCGCAUGGUGUACCCGGACGGCUCCCGCUACCUCGGGCGGUGGGUGCACGGCAAGCGCAGCGGCAAGGGUCGCUACGUCUACGCCGACGGCAGCAGCUACGACGGGGCCUGGGUGAAGGACGAGAAGCACGGGAGCGGCACUUACCACCUCCUGGACGGCUCCUCCUUUAUUGGCACCUUCCACCACAACCGGUUCGUGUCGGGCGAAUGGCGCCUCGCGUCCGGCACGGUGCGCUACAUCGGCAACUUCGAAAAUGAUGCGCCGGCCGGCGCCGGCGUCUACGUGCACCGCUGCGGCCUUAAGCCGGGCACCUUCCAGCAGGAGGGCACUUACUCGGCGGAGGGAAAGUCGUGGGUGCCGAGCAUGCUCAAAUGCACGUCUCGCAUGGUGCCACACAUAGAGCUCGUGGUACCGCCGCAGCCUAGCGGUUCGACGCGGGUGCCGAUGGAGUUUGGCGCCGAGUGCACCGGCCGCACCAUGGCGGACCUCAUCAAGGUCGCCAACUACGCCCCGCUGCUGCGGUGGGUGGCCUCCCUGACCUCCGCGGCCAAGGACUUGGUAGUUGGCGAGGUGGAGUUGAAGGGGGUGGAGCUGAGGGGUGUGGAGGUGCAGACGAUGCGCUACGACGCCGCCGACCCCGAUGCAAUCACGGAGGUGACCAUCCUCCCCAUCCUCGUGGACAAUGUCGGCAAGCGCGUGCGCCCACCAUCAGAGGCGGUUACUCUGAAGCCGUCCGUCACGCGUCUGAUGGUCCUGCUGGAGGCUCCCGGCACGGAGCCGGUCGUGCUCUUGGAGAAGUCCCUGCAAAGCGCCAGCCCCGACGAGCAUCACCAGCAAAGCCGCCUUCCCGCGGUGCGCAUCAGUGAGGACUCGUCCGUGGGCGGCGACGUGGUGGACGCCGUCGGGCCCGCCCUCCGCCUGCAGCUCGCCUCUACGAAUUCCAUGGCUCUUUUGCUGCCCCCUAUGCGAUGCAACCCCAUGCAGGGCAACGCCGAGGAGUCGGUGUGGAUGUACGCCCAGGAGGUGCACCGUGAAACGGUGGCGCAGCUGGAGCACAAGCUGGAGCUGCUCUCCGCCGAGUUGCCGGAGGCGUCGACGACGUACGUGGCGGUGCCGCUGUCCGACGUGACCUCCAUUUCGACCGACGCCAUGACGGCAAUGGCGGCCGCCAAUGUGCAGCAGCGCCGCGCCGCACAGACACUGCCCAGAGCCACCGUUGCCCCGCAGCGCCCACCGACUCCGCCGCCUCCGACAUUGGAGCCGCGGCCGGAGCUGCAGCCCCUGUACGACGCCAAGGCCCGCCGUGACGAGGCAGAGUUGGAGGAGUAACACCUGCUAAAGAGGAAAAAGCAGCGGCAACUGCAAGACAUACACAUACACACAUGCACACAGGCGCAUCUCCCUCCCUCCAUAGAGGCACUACGACCGUCAUCCGUCUCUCUCUGACUUCUUUCCCCAACACACACACACACAAGCACACACAUUCUUUUUCAUCUGCUGCCGCUGUUGCAUGAUUGUGUGUGUGUGUGUGAACGUUAUGUACAUAGCAGUAAAGCCGCUCACCUGUCCAUGCCCCCCCCCCCCCCCCCCCUCGCUCCCUGACAUCGUUAGGAGGACAUCACCACUCCUCUUCUUCGCUCUCCAUAAAAGGUGGCGGUGGUGGGGAAGGUGUCGUGUCAUGAGGUAGUCCGUCGUCGCCUCUUCUACCUCAGCACACACGCGCGCACGUAGUGAUGUACAGGAGCACGUGUGUGUUUGCGUGUUAUGGUGCGCCCUUUGUUGCGUGGGCUGCCGCUGUGGGUGGUCGUAUGCGUGCGUGCAUUUAUGUACCUCUCUCCUCCUUUAUUCUCGUUGACGGCUGACGUGAAUCGCCCACCCCUUCCUCAGCCUCUCGGUGGGUGCGGUUUCUGACGGUGCGGAUGACCUGGACGGAUGCGGUCGAUGUGAUGAUGAUUGAUGAUGUACAGCAGCAGCACGCUUCUGUGUGUGCCUGUGUGUGCGUGUUCUUAUCCAAGCACAGCGAACCGAAAAGCAAACGCGAAAGGGUGGGGGAUAUCUCACUUUGUGUGUGUGUGUGUGUGUUUCGCGCGCGAGAGUGUCGCCCGUGGAGGAGGCGAGGGAAAGAGGGGCUGUGGGGCCUCCCUCCUUCCCUACAGCCACCAGCGGUGUCUCUGUCAACUCCAUCUGCACGCACGCACACACGCACACACACAGGGCAAUCACAUGAGAAACUUCCUCUCCACCCCUCGUCCAUCUUUGCAUCGAUCCGCUUGUCCUUUUCAUUUAUCUAUCCUCGUCCCCCUCCCCACCGCUGCUGCUGCUGCCUCCUGCCACCCACACCCACACAU
rnacentral:misc_RNA from 1 species